rnacentral:misc_RNA from 1 species
GAUGAAGAACGUAGCGAAAUGCGAUAAGUAAUGUGAAUUGCAGAAUCCCGUGAACCAUCGAGUCUUUGAACGCAAGUUGCGCCCGAAGCCACUAGGCCGAGGGCACGCCUGCCUGGGCGUCACACGCCGUUGCCCCCCCAUCUACUCCUUCGGGAUUGCGGGGGGGCGGAUGAUGGCCUCCUGUGCGCCUAGCCGCGCGGUUGGCAUAAAUACCAAGUCCUCGGCGACGCACGCCACGACAAUCGGUGGUUGCGAAACCUCGGUUGCCCGUCGUGUGCGUUCGUCGCGCAUCGAGGGCUCGAAAAAAUGCUCGGCUCCGGCUGGGCUUUCAACGCGACCCCAGGUCAGGCGGGGUUACCCGCUGAAUUUAAGCAUAUCAAUAAGCGGAGGA